CCACAGGUUUAUAAUCACGGUUGAUCAUGUAUUUAGCAAUGAGACCAUGGGCUUCAUGCACCGUCUGGCGAAAGGGAAGCCGGUCAAUAUUCCGGCACCUGAGUGUGGGUUUUGCGCGGCAACGCAACUGAACGUGGAGACGUUGGCGGGGUACCCGGGCAGACUUCUCUUUUCUUCUUAACAGUCUCUCUCCCAAGGCAGCCAGGAAAUGCAAGACUUGAGAUUGCCCGGGGGUGCCAUGGUAUCCGAUAAAUGCUGCCAAGUAAAGGGGCAAAGUUCAAGUCUUG
rfam:Fusarium oxysporum f. sp. lycopersici 4287 chromosome 8, whole genome shotgun sequence.